rnacentral:rRNA from 1 species
UGGCGGACGGGUGAGUAAUGUCUGGGAAACUGCCCGAUGGAGGAGGAUAACUACUGGAAACGGUAGCUAAUACCGCAUAACGUCGCAAGACCAAAGAGGGGGACCUUCGGGCCUCUUGCCAUCGGAUGUGCCCAGAUGGGAUUAGCUAGUAGGUGGGGUAACGGCUCACCUAGGCGACGAUCCCUAGCUGGUCUGAGAGGAUGACCAGCCACACUGGAACUGAGACACGGUCCAG